UGUGAAACACAAAGAAACAGAGAAGGGAAAGAAGAAGAGAAAAGGAAGAAAAGAAGAGAAGGAAGGAAGAGGAAGAGAAGGAGCUAGUGCUGCCUGCCGUGGCUACUAUUACUGCUACUGUGCACACAAGUGCAGCAAAUGGUGCUGCAGCUAUUGCUGUUGCUGCAUCACGCCGGGUGCUACUAUGCUGCUGCCCUAUUUGGGAGCUGAAAUAGAGGUUAUAUAGCUGGUGGUGGACCCUCUUGCACACCCAAAGCCUAUUGAGAAGAUAAGGGAGUUGGAAUGGUGAUGGUCAGGAGAUCUGUUCAAUUGUGGAAGUAUUUAUACAGACACUUGCAGAGGAGAUUCAUGAUGUACACUAUGUAUUAUAAUUUAAAUGAAUGUAAGAUUUACAAGGUAUUCAUUAUAACUUAUGGAUUUAAUUGUAUGGGCCUGUAAUAUUACAUAUAUCAGUGUAGAUGAUCAUCAUGCUUAUCUUAUGAUUUAUGUUAUGAAUUCUUUAUGUA